CCACUCAUAACCAUAAGAUAAUUAAAACGGGGGGGGGCAGGGUAAAAAAAAAACCCUUUUAUCAGCCAUAGGUUAAUGCAAGUGUUUAACAGAUGCUUCGCUAUUAAAAUAUUUCCCCCCAAUACUGAAGAAUCUUAAACCAGCAACCCUAACAGAGAUUGCGAAGAUUUUCAAAGUGGGGCACCUCGAUUUCUCGAAUCUGUGGUGUGGCGAAUAUCCGUGUUCCUCCUGCUUAACUAGCCUGUUUGUCAGUCCGCUAGCAAAACAUCAAACGUGAAUCAUCAUCAGUGACUCGAUUGAAGAGAAACCACAAGGCUCCCCUGAUCAG
rnacentral:lncRNA from 1 species